CCACACGACUACCCCUCCGGCUGGCAACGCAAGGGGAAACCCCCGGACGGUCCACGCACCCCUGCUGGGUCGCCCGGGACUGGGGAAAGUCAAUCUUGGGAGCCCUCCGAGUCAAUCUUGGGAGUCCAGGGACCUCUCCUACCAGCCCCCAGAAUUUGCGCACUCGGCGCCAAUGCCCCCCCCCCCCAACCACGCCGCGGGAGGGCAAAGGAAGCCCCGGCUGCACCCGCAAAGAGGAGGGAAGGGGCGGGGCGGGGACCUGUGCGUUCAGGCUCCCGGCGCCCCCUGGUCGGCCCGCCGCUCCAACGACCCCGCGCUCGCCGCUAGCGGACCCCGGAGAGCAACGGAGCGAGCGCGCCCUUACCUGUAGAAACCAGUGGCCGGUCUCUCCGAUGAGCGGGAAGCCCAUGGAGCCUUUGGCGGGCUUAGGGGCUGCUCGAGAGGUGGUGAGAUGAAGCCGUGAAUCAAGCUGGUGGAUUAGCUCUCCCCGAAACCAUCACACUCGGAAAACUUUGGAAAACUUUGUCCAGCGGGAGCCUCUCUCGUAAGAGCUAUCGGAGAGAAAAUGCGAUCGAUUUGUCAAAA